ensembl:lncRNA
GGGGUAGAGUGUGAGUGUACAGUGCUUCAUGAAAUGAAUGUGUGUCAAGGAAACGUGGAUUUUAGGGACUGGUAAUGUCUGCUUUAGGCUCAGGUGUUUCCUGUUUAUGCAGGAGUGCAUGUAGAGUUCAAUAUCAGUGAGAUAGCUUGGCACUUCUAAGCUCGUUAGUGUUGCAGGCUGCUCUUUGUAGUUUUACAGGGGAGUAUAUUUGCGUGAUGGCAGCUGUGUGUCCUUCGGAUAAUCAUGUUAUUGCACGUAGGCUCUAAACUUGACUGAGGACACUGGGCCCAGAGUUGUCUGAGGGCAUCCGGUUUAACCAGAGCUUUGGUCUGCUAGUAACGCUUUAUAUUAGAUUAUUUAUAUAACAGUAGACAGAAGUCGAAUAGUGAAUUCGGGGGAGGUGCAUCUGGGACAGCCUAAAGUGUGACACUAACCGGGUUUCCAUCCAACCUUUUAAUGCGAGUAAAGUACAUGUCGGAAAAAACAUUUAAUUACAGGCCUGAUGGAAGCAGAACAUUUGUCGGUAAACUGUCCAGCUAGACAAGGUGGGAUUAAUUAUGCAUGAAAUGUCGGUGGAAACGCUUUUAUGCGCAAAUAUUGAUAUAAUAACUAUCAUAUCUAAAUAAACUUGGAGUCCCGCGAUAACAUGUUGUGUGAUCCUCCCACUAGGACUAGUCGGAAAAACAUGCAGUGUCAAUACCAGAGUGGGCAAAUUCGCUAUAUAACGCAAAAAAAAUGGCGAGAAAACCAUCAGUACAGUUGAAAAUGUGAUGGAAACCCAUUUAACUUUAAUUUUUUAUUCGGUACAUUCGAAUUUAACUGCAAAAGUAUUUUUAUGUGCACUACAUCAUCACGCACAGCUUCUUAUCUGCAACAAGUCAAUUUGAUGGAGACCUCUCUGGUGGGAAAAGGUGCAUCUUUUUUUAAUGCAGAUUUUAGAAUAUUUGCAUGGAAAUCUGUCACCAAUUAGGUGGAAACCUAGCUACUGAUGUUGUUUUCCAACAGCAAGGCUCAGUGCAACAUGGCGGUGUUGUCAUUGUUUAUAAAAGUUUUUCUUUAUAAUGUUGAACUAAACAUAAAAAAUAAAUCACAUAUCAAAACACUCAAACUGAAAAUAUAUAUGUUUGUACAUUGUACACUCAAUUGGUGAGAGACAGAGACUCAAAUAUCAGUCAUUUGUACAUAUCCACUGUAUACAUGAAUUGCAGCAAAGUUGGCUCCUGUUUCAGUCAUGCCAUUGGUCACGUUCGCGUGGGUCAAGCAAAAGCAUCCUAAUGAUUGGUUGACAAUAUUGCCUCCCACAAUACAGGCGAUGGCUGCUCUGGGAACAUACAUUUUAAUGUUGCAGGGAGGUUCUGAGGACAUUUUACUAUGGUUCCCUAAAAGUGUUCCUGGGAGAUUUUAUUAACGUUCUAGGUUAUUUUAUUUUCCUUCAAACUUUCACUGAAUGUUUCAAUAAGACUUUUAAUAACACUGCUAGCUUAGUUUAACUGUUUUGAUCUCCAAGCACAGAUAGGACACCUGGAAUUGAAUUUGCUUAGGCAUUAAUCAUGCAAACACUGUGGCACUGUGUCAAUGAGAUUUAAAGCUAUGAUCUUCUGUUCUCUAUCCACCAUGAUGCCAUGUUUUUUUUACUCAUACAAAGCUGUUCAUUUUAGUUUAUUCAAACAGACCCCAUUUCAAAUGAAACAAGCACUUAGUAAGAUCAGGUGUGGCCAAUUAUUGGGUUUUUAUGGAAAAUAUUUGUAGUGUUCUGAGAAAAUUGAACCAUGUGUAAACCUACAGAAAACAUUAUGCUGCAGUACUGAAAUUCCCACAGGAGAACAUUGUUUCUUAACAUUCUCUGAACAAUUUGAUGAUAUUCCCAAUGUCAAUCCCGUUGGAAAAGGUUCCUAGAACAUUAACAAAAAAUGUAAUUAAAUGUAACCAAGUUAGACCUUUUAGGAAACGUUCUGUUAAAGUAAUGAAAUACCCAAAAAAUAACAUUAUUUUGUCAAGUUCAAUGUACUGAGAAUGUUCCAAAGCCAAGUAACUAUCCUGCACAAAACAAUCAUGCUCUAAGAAACAUAUAGCGAUCAGAGCAUUAUGUGCUAGCUGGGUGGGAAUGCAGAGGGACAAAGUCCAUCUCUCCUUUGCAGAGAUAAUAUCAAUUAGGUUAGUAGAGGAAAGAGGAAAAACAGCAAAUAGGUUUCAUGAUGUCUCCACAUCCAUCUCAUCUCGUUAUUUUUCCACUUUUGGUUGUUCUUGGCAGUUGCUUGCUGUCGCCAGAUGUGUGACGUGAACCGUUUCUACCAGAAAUGGAGAAAGCUCUAAGCUGCCACAAGAUGAGUGCCCCGAUCUUCAGCCACACCUCCCUCUGCCAGCAGGUGUACACCAGAGGGUUGAUGAGGGGGUUGGACAGCCCCAGCAGCUACAGGUCGUUCUCCAGCACCUUGUACAACUCACAGCCCUCACACAGCACCUGCACCACACACACCACAAACGGCACGAGCAGAUGGUGAAACAGACCACCAACAGAGCCACAGUCCUCAGGGCCUUGGCGUGGCCCCAGUAGUGGCUGCCUGUGGAAGCCUUUAGCUGGCCUGACGGAUCUGCACCUGGUGGCCGCAGGCAAUCUUCAGGAUGUCCAGGUAGAAGUAGUUGAAGACAGAGAGGAUGGGGAAGAAGCCAGCACAGAACACCACAAUGAAGCCCCGAGGACGGAUGACAGAGAAGAAGGUGCAAAGAUUGCUGCUGUUGAAGUUUCUCUGCUGUAGCUGCCGCACCAUGCCUGCAGAGCAGAGGAGAAUAACAAACAUACUAUAUGAUACUGUAUUUAGAUUAUUAGUGUAAAAAUAUAUCAUGUUCAUUAUCCAGUUGAUCAAGAAUUCACAAAUUGAGUCUGUUCAUCCCCUGAAUUGAAAUGAAACCCUGUUGUUAGGGACAUCAAGGUAUCUGGCAUGGCCAGGUUGAUAACGAAGCACCAGCUCUGACUGCCCUCCCUGCACAUUAGCUUAAACAGAGCAGCAGCUACCAGCAGGUUGGUUGAGAUAAUGAGGAGACAGGCCACACUCAGGAUCCAUCCCAUAAUUUCUGGCGUCAUUGAGGUGCAGACAACAGGGGUUGGUAUAGGUCUCACACCAGGCAUCAUGGCCGUGAGGUUGCCACCCGACUCUCCUAUCCAGCAUGUCUUAUUGUAAGCUGCCAGUGAGUCAUUUACAAGCUCUAAGUCCUGUAUAUCUGUGAGAUCCCCACCCCCUCAAAACAAAUCAAUUAUAUCCACCAACAUCCACUCCUGCUGUGGUAUAUUGACAUUUGAAUCCAAAGACUCUUUUUCCUAUUUGUAUUGACUUCUGUAAAUGUUUCUUGUUAAUAUCUUUCUUUGUCAAACUCCUUGUAAAACAAUAAUAAAAAGUGCUGUUAAUUAAACAUUUAUGGAAAGAAAGGUAGAACAUUCAGAGGGUACUCAUCCACUCCUGAUGUGCCUUUGCUCCUGAGAGGGAAAAGUAUCUCCCCGCCUCUCUCGUCUGCAGCUGUGGUUCCUCUGCAUCUGACUCUUGUCCAGCCUGCUAUCUGGCUGUCAUCCCAGUCACCUCGAAGAGUCCCUGGUGCAGACAUUCGGGAUGAUGGGGCCAUUUUCCACAAGGGUUCACCACCACCACCAAAUCUGGGUUAAUGACAGUAGUAUGCAGUAUAAACAUAAUCUGAAAAUACACUAAGAUAGAUCCGCGUUCGAUGCCCUCUGUAUCUUCAUCAUAAAGUCAUUAGUGUUUUUUAAAGCCCUGUUAAUUGAAUUCAAUAAGUAGGGCAGUAAGGUAAGAGAGGAAGAGUUUUCUGUGGCGUGUCUCUUGGGAAGACCCAUCUGUAGGCAUAUAUGUGAGUCCUUUAGAAAACACACAGAAUAAAAAAAUCCAGAUAGAGACACGGAAGAGAAAACAACCAUCUACUCCCACUUACUAGAAUCAACAAAGUAUCUGCUCUCUUGGCUCCUCUAGUGUCUAAGGUGAGUCCUAGCAAAAAUAAUACACUGCUCCAAAAAAUAAAGGGAACACUAAAAUAACACAUCCUAGAUCUGAAUGAAUGAAA